rnacentral:rRNA from 1 species
AUGAAUGCUGGCGGCGUGCCUCACCCAUGCCAGUCGAGCGGCAGCGAGGGGUGCUUGCACCCUGUCGGCGAGCGGCGAACGGCUGAGUAACGCGUAGGAAUUUGCCCCAAAGUGAGGAAUAACUGCCCGAAAGGGUAGCUAAUGCCGCAUAUGGUCUUCGGAUUAAAGGAUUUAUCCGCUUUGGGAGAAGCCUGCGUUGGAUUAGGUUGUUGGUAGGGUAAUGGCCUACCAAGCCGACGAUCCAUAGCUGGUCUGAGAGGAUGAUCAGCCAGACUGGAACUGAGACACGGUCCAGACUCCUACGGGAGGCAGCAGUGAGGAAUCUUCCACAAUGGGCGAAAGCCUGAUGGAGCAACGCCGCGUGAAGGAUGAAGGCCUUCGGGUUGUAAACUUCUUUUAUGAGUGAAGAAUAUGACGGUAACUCAUGAAUAAGCACCGGCUAACUACGUG